rnacentral:rRNA from 1 species
CUCGGCAACGGAUAUCUCGGCUCUCGCAUCGAUGAAGAACGUGGCGAAAUGCGAUACUUGGUGUGAAUUGCAGAAUCCCGUGAACCAUCGAGUCUUUGAACGCAAGUUGCGCCCGAAGCCAUUAGGCUGAGGGCACGUCUGCCUGGGCGUCACGC